UUCUUACAACAUAGUGUUAAUGCAUUGGAUCCCAUUAGAACUCUGUAGUUAAGCACACUUGAGCUAGAGUAGUACUGGGAUGGGUGAUCGCUCGGGAAGAGCUAGUAUUUUACAUGC
rnacentral:rRNA from 1 species